rnacentral:rRNA from 1 species
AGCAGCCGCGGUAAUUCCAGCUCCAAUAGCGUAUAUUAAAGUUGUUGCAGUUAAAAAGCUCGUAGUUGAAUUUCGGGAUUAAUAUGCUGGUCGUGCCAUUGGUACGUACUAGUAUUAUUGAUUUCUCCCUUCUGAUGAAUCAUGAUGUCAUUAAUUUGAUGUCAUGGGGAAUCAGGACUGUUACUUUGAAAAAUUAGAGUGUUUAAAGCAGGCUCGCGCUUGAAUACAUUAGCAUGGAAUAAUGAAAUAGGACGUUUGAUUCUAUUUUGUUGGUUUCUAGGAUUGACGUAAUGAUUAAUAGGGAUAGUUGGGGGCAUUAGUAUUCAAUUGUCAGAGGUGAAAUUCUUGGAUUUAUUGAAGACUAACUACUGCGAAAGCAUUUGCCAAGGAUGUUUUCAUUAAUCAAGAACGAAAGUUAGGGGAUCGAAGACGAUCAGAUACCGUCGUAGUCUUAACCAUAAACUAUGCCGACUAGGGAUCGGAUGAUGUUAAUU